rnacentral:rRNA from 1 species
GAUGAACGCUGGCGGCGUACCUAAUACAUGCAAGUCGAGCGAACAGACGAGGAGCUUGCUCCUCUGACGUUAGCGGCGGACGGGUGAGUAACACGUGGAUAACCUACCUAUAAGACUGGGAUAACUUCGGGAAACCGGAGCUAAUACCGGAUAAUAUAUUGAACCGCAUGGUUCAAUAGUGAAAGACGGUUUUGCUGUCACUUAUAGAUGGAUCCGCGCCGCAUUAGCUAGUUGGUAAGGUAACGGCUUUCCAAGGCAACGAUGCGUAGCCGACCUGAGAGGGUGAUCGGCCACACUGGAACUGAGACACGGUCCAGACUCCUACGGGAGGCAGCAGUAGGGAAUCUUCCGCAAUGGGCGAAAGCCUGACGGAGCAACGCCGCGUGAGUGAUGAAGGUCUUCGGAUCGUAAAACUCUGUUAUUAGGGAAGAACAAAUGUGUAAGUAACUAUGCACGUCUUGACGGUACCUAAUCAGAAAGCCACGGCUAACUACGUG